CCUGGGGUUGAAACCACAGGCUAUUCUCUGUCGUCCCUAAAGGGACU
rnacentral:sRNA from 1 species